rnacentral:rRNA from 1 species
AUGAAGCCAAAUAAGGGCAUACGGUGAAUGCCUUGGCGCAAAAGACCGAAGAAGGACGUGAUAGGCUGCGAUAUGCCUCGGGGAGCUGUCAAAUAAGCUUUGAUCCGGGGAUUUCCGAAUGGGGUAACCCAUCUAGGUUCAAACCUAGUUACCAUACAGUAAAUUCAUAGCUGUAUAGGAGGGCAUGCAGGGAAGUGAAACCUCUCAGUACCUGCGAGAAAAGAGAACAAUAGUUUAUUUCCUGAGUAGUGGCGAGCGAAAAGGAAGUAGCCCAAACUAAUACUGUGUAAGGAAGAUCCAAUUUAUGAUUCGCGUUGCGAUGAUUAAGGCGGUGAAUCCGUAGUCUGCCGAUCGUGCAGUAUUGGUGUAGUAAGAGUUAGUUGAUUAAACGGCAGUUUAAUCGAGAAGUUACAAAAUUUAACUUUAGAAGAACAUAUCUGGAAAGGUAGACCAUAGGGAGUGAAAGUCUCGUAUUUUAAAAAGUUAAAUCUUCUUUCUAACAUCUUGAGUACCACGGGGCACGUGAAAUCUUGUGGGAAUCAGCCAAGACCACUUGGCAAGGCUAAAUAUCUUUUGCGACCGAUAGUGGAGUAGUUCCGUGAGGGAAAGGUGAAAAACACCCCUGUUAGGGGAGUGAAAUAGAUCUGAAACCGUAUGCUUACAAACAGUCGGAGCCGGUAUAUCCGGUGACGGCGUGCCUAUUGAAGAAUGACCCGGUGAGUUAGUUGUGUGCGGCAAGGUUAACCAUGUUUAUUGGGGAGCCGAAGCGAAAGCGAGUCCGAAUAGGGCGAAUUUAGUCGCAUGCACUAGACCCGAAACCAGGUGAUCUAACCAUGAGCAGGGUGAAGGAAUGAGAAAUCGUUUUGGAGGCCCGAACUCUUUAAUGUUACAAAAUUAUGAGAUGACUUGUGGUUAGCGGUAACAUGCCAAACGAACCUGGUAAUAGCUGGUUCUCCCCGAAAUAGCUUUUGGGCUAGCGUUGUAAUUUAAUCAUUGGGGGUAGAGCACUGAUUGGGUCUGGGGCCCGAAAGGGUACCCAAUCCAGUUAAACUCCGAAUACCAAUGAGAACAUUACGGCAGUUAGAACUAGGGAGCUAAGUUCCUAUGUUCAAGAGGGAAACAGCCCAGAUUGUCAGAUAAGGACCCUAAAUUACAUCUUAGUGGGAAAGGAAGUGGAGUUUCUCAGACAGCUAGGAGGUUGGCUCAGAGGCAGCCAUCCUUUAAAAAGUGCGUAAAAGCUUACUAGUCAAGAGAUUCUGCACCGAAGAUUCAACGGGGCUGAAGAUGUAUUCCGAAGCUGCAAAUUUAUCUAUCAUUCGUGAUUUGAUGAGUGGUAGGGGAGCGUUCUAUACAUGAUCUACUUAGCAGUAGAUACAUCGCGGUGAAGGUGACCUGUAAAGAGUUGCUGGAGCGUAUAGAAGUGAGAAUGCCGGGAUGAGUAACGUAAAGCAGGUGAAAACCCUGCUCGCCGAAUGUCUAAGGUUUCCAUGGCUAUGGCAGUCAUCCAUGGGUUAGUCGGUCCUAAGAUCAGGCCGAAAGGCGUAAUCGAUGGACAACAGGUUAAUAUUCCUGUACCACUAAUAUCUGCGACGGAGAUUGGGAAUUGAGAAUGCAAGCCCCUUAUUGGUUUGGGGUGUAAGCAGUUAGUUAGUUUCCUCAGGUAAAUCCGGGGAAAUGAUUCUACUUCGGUAGAUGAAAACGAGCUGCGAUGCAAAGGUGACCUUCGGGAAGCCGAUUUGUUGUAUUAAUUCUCCAGGAAAAACUUCUAGCGUGUCUACCUUCGGGUGGACGAAAAGAUAUUUGUGACCGUACCGCAAACCGACACUGGUGGACUGGUAUAAAUGUACCAAGGCGUACGAGUUAUGCGUCGUUAAGGAACUCGGCAAAUUAACCCCGUAAGUUCGCGAGAAGGGGGGCCUUCCAUCAUAGAUAUUUAUAUUUGUGAUGAUGGAGGCGGCACAGAAUAGGGAGGAGCGACUAGUUACCAAAACUACAGGCGCUUGCAAAUUCGUAAGAAGAUGUAUAAGUGCUGACACCUGCCCAAUGCCAGAAGGUUAAGAAAGUUUGUCAAUCGUCUGUCGGGUGCUCUUCGGAGCCCUGAUGGUGAGGAAGCGGACGAUCGAAGCCCUGGUCAAUGGCGGCUGUAACUAUAACGGUCCUAAGGUAGCGUAAUACCUCGUCACUUAAUUAGUGACUUGCAUGAAAGGUGUAACGACUCUUCCACUGUCUCGACGGCGCGCUCGGUGAAAUUGAAAUGGCUGUGAAGAUGCGGCCUACCCAUACCAGGACAAAAAGACCCCGUGGAGCUUUACUGCAGCUUUGCAUUGAAAUAGGGCUUUGGAUAUAGAGAAUAGGUGGGAGACUUUGAAGCCGUCUCGUUAGGGAUGGUGGAGUCAAAAUAUGGAAUACCACUUUUUCAACGUUUUAUUUCUAACCGCUUCCGUUAUCCGGAAGUUGAACAGUGCAUGGUGGGCAGUUUGACUGGGGCGGUUGCUUGCUAAAGAGUACCGCAAGCGCACAAAGGUCUCCUCAACCCGGAUGGAAAUCGGGUGAAGAGUGCAUGAGCAUAAGGAGGCUUUACUGUGAGGGAGACAUCCCGAUCAGUUACGAAAGUAGGUUCAAGUGACCCUUUCGCAGAAUGUGGAAUCGCGAUUGUUUAACGGAGAUAAGCUACCCCGGGGAUAACAGGCUGGUGGUGCCCGAUAGUUCAUAUUGACGGCACCGUUCGGCACCUCGAUGUCGGCUCGUCACAUCCUGGGGCUGGAGAAGGCCCCAAGGGUUCGACUGUUCGUCGAUUAAAGUGGCACGUGAGCUGGGUUCAGACCGUCGUGAGCCAGGUCGGUCUCUAUCCGGUAUGGGCGUUGUAUAUUUGA